rnacentral:rRNA from 1 species
UACGGGGGGAGCAAGCGUUGUUCGGAUUUACUGGGCGUAAAGGGCGCGUAGGCGGCCACCGCAAGUCAGUUGUGAAAGCUCUGGGCUUAACCCAGAAAGGUCAACUGAUACUGCGGGGCUAGAGUGCAGAAGGGGCAACUGGAAUUCUCGGUGUAGCGGUGAAAUGCGUAGAUAUCUGGAGGAAUACCGGUGGCGAAGGCGGCAUCCUGGACCAUAACUGACGCUGAGGCGCGAAAGCUAGGGGAGCAAACAGG